AAAGGAAAGAGUGGUCUGUGCUCAGACGGCACCUUCUCACCGACGCCCCGAGCACCAUGGUUAGGAUCCAGAAGGCACUUUCACAGACCACACACUGCUGGGAGAGUGCCGGCUUCACUAUCAGGCUCUGUUCUCGACAUUGUGCUGUGCACUUUGCACAGGUUAUUUCCACCCCUACCCGGCUAAGUGGCCUCGCGUCUUCACUUGUCAGCCUGCAGUCUCCUUCAAGAAAGCAAUCAGAGAAGUCGCCUUCCAACUCGAGUCAGAUCAGUUCUCUCUUCUGCUCAAAGUGCUCGGAUGACUUACAGGUUGUG
rnacentral:lncRNA from 1 species